GGGUGAACAAAGAAAAUGAUAAGAUGACAAUAACCGCACCCUAAAGAUAACCCAAUUGCAUAACUGGGACGUACUGUCUUUAGGGUAGGCCUCAUCAAAUAGCCCUCUGGCCCGUAGAGCUGAAGCCCGACCCGGCUCUAAAAGCCCUACCCGGCCCGACCCUAAAAUUUAUAUAUUCUGAUUAUUUUCUAUUACAUAGAAAUAAAAUUUAAAAUCUGUAUAUGUGUUAUAUUAGAAAAUGGGUACAAACCCAAUUACCCAAAUAACCUAUUAAUGUAUGAGGCCCAAUGGCCCAUUUCUUCCCAAGUCAGUCCAAGUCCAAGGCUUAAAACCUAGGCGUGUCUAGGACUCUAGGGCAACAACUCCACGUCUUCAUCUCUUGACUCUCUUCGAUAGUUUGACAAACGGAGGCCGUCUCUCUCUUCUUCUCAAAACUCCAUGCUCCGUCUUCUCCAGCCUCCGCCUCCUCCAGCCUCUGUCUUCUCUAGCUUCGACGCCGCCUCCGCCUCCAGCAUCGAUGUGGUCUCGGUCUCCAGCAUCGAUGACUCUUCCGCCUCCUCUAGCCUCUGCUUCCUCCAGCGUCGUGCCGCCUCCGCGUUCUCCAGUGUCGAUGUCGCCUUCUCCAGCUGAAGCUAGUGAUAUUUCCGAUGAGAAACCAGGCAAGACUGGUUCGAAGCCACCAAAGCCGCUCAAGGACUAUAUUCAUGUACGAGCAAGAAGGGGUCAAGCCACUGACAGCUAUAGUCUAGCUGAAGAUCGCCGCCAUCUCCAAACCUCACAGCCAAACACUCGGCCUCCGGCCCUCCUCCUCCAGUCCGAACCAUUCGCCGACAUUUGCUUCUUCGAUACAUGAGAGAGAGAAGGAAGAAGAAGACUCCCAACUUUCAUGAAGAUGCGGCAAUGGUUCUUUCUUUGGUUGCCAUGGAUCUUCAUAUUAGUAAGAGAUGAAGGAAACUUUGCUGGUGUUAAAUCAAACCAUGCUUCAGUUUUUGUAUCAAAGAUAACAACUUUUUGUGAAUUGAUGAAGACUUGAUCAGUUCAUCAGUUUUUGUAACAACUUUUUGUAGCCUCAGUCAGUGGCUUAGUGCCUCAGUGCAAUUUCAUUUUCAAUUAUAAAACUUGAUCAUUGAGAAUGUGAGUUUUUGUGGGAUUUGUAAUUAUUUGUAAUCAACUAAGCCACUCAGGUUUU